GAGCAUUUUACUGUAAUCCUUCCAGAGGAUCAGAAGAGUAAACUCAUCUCCCAAGCGUAUGAUGGAGCCAGCGUGAUGAGAGGUGCCACUGCAGGUGUUGAAAGGAAGAUUCAAGAUGUGUACCCAAAUGCCCAUUACAUCCACUGCUAUGCGCAUCAGCUCAAUCUAAUAACGCAAAAGGCCACUUCUCACAUACCCAAAGUUAGAAUUUUUUUUCUAACCUUGGAGGAUUUGUCAGCUUUUUUUCAAGAUCAACCAAGCGCACAGAUGUUCUUGAUAAAGUAGUUGCCAAUAGACUACCAACAUCAAGCAGUGUUAGAUGGAACUUCCACAGCCGUGCCAUCAAUACAGUGUUUGGAGGCUUUGCCAUGCUGCUGGAGGAUCAGGAUUUUAAUUUUUUUCUGCAACUUUUCCACAACAUCAUGCCACACGUGGACAUCCUCCAUGCCAAACUCCAGAAGAAGGACAUACAGUAGAUUCAGUCCACAUUAAGGGGAGCAUCCAGCAGGACAUACAGAAGAUCAGGUAGCAGCUGUAUUCCUUCUUUUGAAUUUGUUAUCAUUAUUAUUGUUAUUAGUCAUACAUUUUCUUAAUCCUUUGCAGAAAUUCUCUCCAUUCUCUGGUUAACCAAAGCAGUGAAGGAGCUUCUCAACCAAAGAGGCGGCGGUUGCUUAGUCCAGAGGUCCAUGAACGGAUUGCAACAGAGGUCUGUGACACCAUACUCCAACACACCAUGGAACGGUUCUGCUUCACAAGCCACCUCGUUAGUGCCACCCUGCUGCAAGCAGACAGGUUUGAACAGUACACAGUGGCGUUUCCUGAAGAUGCACUGAGUAGGACUUUGAAGGCCUAUCCAGUGCUCAAUGGGAGU